GUGGUGGCUGGUACCAUGGAUCUGUCUCUCGCCCAGUGGGGUGAGCUGGGCCCUCCCUGGAGAAGAAACCUGGGUUACCCAAGAU